CCUANGGGUGGCUGCAGUCGAGAGGCUUCGGCAAUGGGGGAAACCCUGACCGAGCGACGCCGCGUGCGUGAUGAAGGCCUUCGGGUUGUAAAGCGCUGUCGUGUGGGGCGAAGGAUUUUACGGCGAACAGUCGUAGAGUCUCGACGGUACCACAGAAGGAAGCUCCGGCUAACUCCGUGCCAGCAGCCGCGGUAAUACGGGAGGAGCGAACGUUGUUCGGAAUCACUGGGCGUAAAGGGCGCGUAGGCGGCUUCGUAAGUGAGAUGUGAAAGCCCCUGGCUCAACCAGGGAAAUGCGUCUCAUACUGCGGGGCUUGAGUGCAGGAGAGGAUGGGGGAAUUCCCGGUGUAGCGGUGAAAUGCAUUGAUAUCGGGAGGAACACCAGUGGCGAAGGCGCCCAUCUGGCCUGUUACUGACGCUGAGGCGCGAAAGCCGGGGGAGCAAACAGGAUUAGAUACCCUGNUANUC
rnacentral:rRNA from 1 species